rnacentral:lncRNA from 1 species
UAAAUAUCACAUAUUGAGAUCCAUUAGGUUGCACAAAAGAAUAAUUGCUUAAUGGAUGUCCAUAUUGUGUCAAAAGAUGCAAGAUUAGCAAUUCAGCUGUAAAGUGUUUCAACAUUAGCUAGAUUAGCAAUUCAAAAGGCUUCAAGCAGGUUUAGAGUUCAUCAUCACGCUGCUUCUUCAAGGGAUUUCUAGGUGCAAGGUUAGUUGGAGCUAAAGUUGAGAGUGCAUUAGUAGACAGUGAAAUAGGUGU